rnacentral:rRNA from 1 species
GAUGAACGCUAGCGGCAGGCUUAAUACAUGCAAGUCGAGGGACAGCACAGGUAGCAAUACUGGGUGGUAACCGGCAAACGGGUGCGGAACACGUACACAACCUUCCUUUAAGUGGGGGAUAGCCCAGAGAAAUUUGGAUUAAUACCCCGUAAUAUAGUUGAAUGGCAUCAUUUGAUUAUUAUAGCUACGGCGCUUAAUGAUGGGUGUGCGGCUGAUUAGAUAGUUGCCGGGGUAACGGCCCACCAAGUCUACGAUCAGUAGCUGAUGUGAGGGCAUGCUCAGAAACACGGGCACUGAGACACGGGCCCGAGUCCUACGGGAGGCAGCAGUAAGGAAUAUUGGUCAAUGGACGCAAGUCUGAACCAGCCAUGCCGCGUGAAGGAUUAAGGUCCUCUGGAUUGUAAACUUCUUUUAUUUGGGACGAAAAAGGGCCUUUCUAGGUCAACUGACGGUACCAGAUGAAUAAGCACCGGCUAACUCCGUGCCAGCCGCCGCGGUAACAC